UACGUAGGGUGCAAGCGUUGUCCGGAAUUAUUGGGCGUAAAGAGCUCGUAGGCGGUUUGUCGCGUCGGCUGUGAAAACUCGGGGCUCAACCCCAAGCUUGCGGUCGAUACGGGCAGGCUAGAGUUCGGUAGGGGAGACUGGAAUUCCUGGUGUAGCGGUGAAAUGCGCAGAUAUCAGGAGGAACACCGGUGGCGAAGGCGGGUCUCUGGGCCGAUACUGACGCUGAGGAGCGAAAGCGUGGGGAGCGAACAGG
rnacentral:rRNA from 1 species